UAGGACAGAACUGCUCUGAUACCACUUUUGCCAUGACACAAACCGAUGGGCUGUGACGGGCACCUGGUACCUUACUCAACCGAGUACCAACGUAACGUAUCUUUCUUAUUACAUCAUCAUAUACACGUGACAUACGGGCAUACAUAAACAUAGGCCAACAAGGUCAACAUGAUCUUAUUACAACAUGAUCAUUUAUAAACUCAAAACAUAGGCCAACAAGGUCGUACAAUCUUUCACGUACACCACAUAUGUCUACAAGACUCUAAGCAUACAUAAAUGUCAUAAAGGUCGGGAUAGAGCCCCGCCAUACCAAACAAUACACGUCCAAAUCAUACUAACCAAAUACGCAACUCCGAAGCAAAUUGAAUGCACCAACAUCUUCCGCUGAGAUGAUAGCCUACUUGGAGGGCUCUCUACCUGUCUGUCUGGACCUGAGGGCAUGAAACAUAGCGUCCCCAGGCAAAAUGGACAUCAAUACAAAAUAAUAUACAGAGUAUGUAAGACAAUAUACUGAAAGCUGAAACUGAACUGAUAAUAUAAUAACUGCAAGUAGCUGAAAGUCAAAGAUAAUCUGAAGACACCCUUGAGGUUGUCAAGUAAAGUUAUGCCACAAAAUGAAAACACCCUUUGAUCCUCUCUAAUAGGUGUUGUAUCUAUUAAAAUAUAUCAACAAUUAACAUUUGGAAAUCAUACUAACAAUUAAUGUGCAUAAGACAUAUAAAAUCAAAAGUUUCUUGGUAACUUUCUGCUAAGAACAGUUCGAUCUGCAAUGUCACGAAAUCGUAUACAAUUAUCUCUUUGUUUAUGUUAAUUUUUAGUUUAGUUUUUCGUGUGUUCUUGGUAACAAUAUUGUAAAAUUAAAGAAGAAAAGAUUAAUGAAUCUUGUAGUGUUUCAAAAAUUGUUCACGUUAUUCAAAAUCAUUGAAAUCGUAAUACAAUAUCUCCAAUGCCUCUCGUUAAUUAUCUAACUGUAGAAGAUUUUAGCUUUAGAUUAGUUUCACCGUAAAAUCUGUAAUUAAAGGUUUCAUAUUUGAAUUCUGGGAAUGCUUACAUGUUGAUACUGACUCAACUCUUUCAAUAUAGUAAGUAAAAUAGUUGUCCAGCCCUAUAAGACUCGGUGUGUGUAUAUAUAUAUAUAUAACUGAUUUGUCGUAGUAGGCUCGCUCAGAGGCGCUCGGCCAUACUAGGUUCUGUAUCUCGACCAACUGGGCUAGCUCAUAAGCGCUCGACCACAGUAGGCUCGAUAUAUAUAUAUAUAUAUAAUUGCUCUACCGUAGUAGGCUGUCUUAUAUGUGCUCGGCCAUACUAGGCUCUGUAUCUCGACCAACUAGGCUCGCUCAUAAGUGUUCGGCCACAGUAGGCUCGGUAUAUAACUUAUCAUCUAAUCAGAAGUUGCCCAAUAGGGGCUUGCCCAUCGAUUAUAGCUCGAUGGUGAUGAAUAUACUUUUAAUACUGUAUAUAUGUAAAUUCUCUGCUCUCUUGACUAGAAGAAGGAAAUAAUCAACUAAAUAUGAAGUCCCAAUAAGGAGAAUAUUAUAACUUACAAAACUAUGAAAAUAUAUGCAAUUUUCGAGAUUAGCAAAAUGUACGUAAAUUUCGGGAUAUGAUUUUUUCUUUAUGCCUCGUUAUCAAACUUGUAUAAUGAGGAGAUCAUACCAAAAUAAAGGAAAAGCUUAUCCUUAACAUACCUAUUUCUUAAAUUAUUUGAUCGAAGUGAAGCUUCUACUUCCGUGAAAUAUGUUGGAAAGAGAAAACAAAGCUUCUGCUUCUGAAAUUAGAAUGAACUUUGCUUGAAUUUUGUUGGAGUUGGACGAAUUUGCUUUAAUUGAAGCCUUUGCUUUUGAAUUGAAAUGUUUCUGCCUCACCACUUCUUUUGAACAAAGGACAACAAUGAUUUUGAUAAAUGGUAAAGACAGAAUGUCUUUGUUUUAACCACAAGACAAAUGCUUUUAAUCUUAUUUUGAUAAGACUUCAAGUUAUGUUUCUG
rnacentral:lncRNA from 1 species